GCGGGGGUGGUCUGGACGCGCGGGCGCGGAGGAUCCGGCGCCAGCUCUGGAACUCUGGAGUUCUCCGGGGAGGGAAACUGUCAAACGGAGGCCGAGUGAAAUUAGGCGGAGGCUGUAAAGAAGCGAGGAGCCCCGCCCCUCCGCCAUAGCAGCCACCGGCGCCGCCUCUUCCUUUGCGGCCUCCGGCCCUCGUCUGCUUCCGGCCCUGUUGCCUGGCCCGGCCCCGCCGUUCCCUAGGGGCGAAGCCCUGGGCCGCGGCUCCCUUGGGAAUUUGGAAGCCAGAGGAAGCUCAGUCCUGAUGGUGUGAGGAUGGGGCUCCUGGACCCGUCCCAGAAAGAGGUGCUGAAAUUUGCAGUGAGCUGCCGCAUCCUGACUCUAGUGCUACAGGUUCUCACGCGACUUCUGGGCUCUUCCACUCCCAUCACAUACUGGUUUCCAGCUUACCUGCUUCAGGAUCGAGAACCACUGUUAAGAUGUGUAGACACAGCCCCUCAGAAGCUUCUUGAGAAUUCCCCACCAGGACAAAAGGCCCCCAGAAACUGUGUCAUGAAACUCUUAUACAACUGGAAGACCUGCUCUCCAGUCACAAAAUGCAUCCUAGUCUACUUCCUGACCUACUGGCUCCUGGGACUAAUUAUGCAUUGCAACUUCCUGCCUUGGACUUGACCUGGAAUCUCAGGGCAAGCUGGAAGCUAAUUUAAGCCUGGGUCUGAAAGCUGUAAGACACCCCAACUAGGACUGCCUGGACACUCCUGGAGCACUGUCCAGUGGGAUUUCCCCAUGUCUCUCUGGAGGCCAGUUAAGAAGGGAAAAUGGGAGCCUCUCAUCCUGGGCGGGGUGAAUUUAGGGGAGUAACUUCGCUGCUCAGUAGAUCUGUCUCAAAUCUUCCUGGUCAACAAGUAUGAGGCAAUCUUGAACCUACCUCUGAUCCAUGUGUAAGUCUUCAUCUUUUUGUUUUUCCAUAGAGGGUUUCUCUGCGUAGCCCUGGCGUCUUGGAACUCACUCUGUAAACCAGAUUUGUGCAGACCAGGCUAACCUGGAACUCAAGAGAUCCACCUGCUUCUGCCUCCUGAGUGCUAGGAUUAAAGCCAUGAGCCACCACUGCCUGGCCUGGUGGGUAAAUUUAAAUGUUUGCUCAAAUCACAGGCAACAGCCUAGUCCAUUCAUGACGAUGGAGAUAGUGCAAUGUAAUGACUGAAGGAAAAAGGAACUGCCUGCUCUAAAAGAGAGGUUUCUGAAGUUUUCUUUAUGAUACGUGUGUGUGUGUGUGUGUGUGUGUGUGUGUGUGUGUGUUACAGACUAAGACAAUCUAAAAACUCCUUUUUGCAAUGAACUACCUUUUUCUGGAGGAGGGGUGGUCAUGGGAUUUAGGCAAGGUCCCUCUGUGUACCUCUGGCUGUCCUAGAACUUGCUGUGUAGAUCUGGCUGUCCUGGAACUUGCUGUGUAGAUCUGGCUGUCCUAGAACUUGCUAUGUAGAUCUGGCUGGUCUUGACCACAGAUUCUCCUGCCUCUGCCUCCUGAGGGCUGGGAGUAAAAGUGUACUCCACAGGCUCUACGGAACUAGUUUCUAUAAACCAUAGGGGUUAGGGGGUAGAACUCAGCAGUAAAGUGUGUGAGGCCCUAAUUUCAGUAAUAAAUGUCACCUGGAUCAGAGCACUGGCUCUGGUUCCUCAUUUUCC
rnacentral:lncRNA from 1 species